rnacentral:rRNA from 1 species
UACGUAGGGUGCGAGCGUUGUCCGGAAUUAUUGGGCGUAAAGGGCUCGUAGGCGGUUUGUCGCGUCGGGAGUGAAAUCACUGGCUUAACUGGUGGCUUGCUUUCGAUACGGGCAGACUGGAGGCAUGCAGGGGAGAACGGAAUUCCUGGUGUAGCGGUGAAAUGCGCAGAUAUCAGGAGGAACACCGGUGGCGAAGGCGGUCUCUGGGCAUGUCCUGAC